rnacentral:rRNA from 1 species
UACAGAGGGUGCAAGCGUUGUUCGGAAUUAUUGGGCGUAAAGAGCUCGUAGGCGGUCUGUCGCGUCGGCUGUGAAAACCCGGGGCUCAACCCCGGGCCUGCAGUCGAUACGGGCAGACUAGAGUGCGGUAGGGGGAGACUGGAAUUCCUGGUGUAGCGGUGAAAUGCGCAGAUAUCAGGAGGAACACCGGUGGCGAAGGCGGGUCUCUGGGCCGUAACUGACGCUGAGGCACGAAAGCGUGGGGAGCAAACAGG